rnacentral:rRNA from 1 species
AUUGAACGCUGGCGGCAGGCCUAACACAUGCAAGUCGAGCGGCAGCGGGACCUUCGGGUUGCCGGCGAGCGGCGGACGGGUGAGUAAUGCCUAGGAAUCUGCCUGUUAGUGGGGGAUAACGCGGGGAAACUCGCGCUAAUACCGCAUACGUCCUACGGGAGAAAGUGGGGGACCUUCGGGCCUCACGCUAACAGAUGAGACUAGGUCGGAUUAGCUAGUUGGUGGGGUAACGGCCCACCAAGACGACGAUCCGUAACUGGUCUGAGAGGAUGAUCAGUCACACUGGAACUGAGACACGGUCCAGACUCCUACGGGAGGCAGCAGUGGGGAAUAUUGGACAAUGGGCGAAAGCCUGAUCCAGCCAUGCCGCGUGUGUGAAGAAGGUCUUCGGAUUGUAAAGCACUUUAAGCCGGGAGGAAGGGCUGUAGGCGAAUACCCUGCAGUCUUGACGUUACCGGCAGAAUAAGCACCGGCUAACUUCGUGCCAGCCGCCGCCGUAAUAC